UACGUAGGGUGCGAGCGUUAAUCGGAAUUACUGGGCGUAAAGCGUGCGCAGGCGGUUGUGCAAGCCAGAGGUGAAAUCCCCGGGCUUAACCUGGGAAUGGCCUUUGUGACUGCACGGCUAGAGUGUGUCAGAGGGGGGUAGAAUUCCACGUGUAGCAGUGAAAUGCGUAGAGAUGUGGAGGAAUACCGAUGGCGAAGGCAGCCCCCUGGGAUAACACUGACGCUCAUGCACGAAAGCGUGGGGAGCAAACAGG
rnacentral:rRNA from 1 species